rnacentral:rRNA from 1 species
AUUGAACGCUGGCGGCAGGCCUAACACAUGCAAGUCGAACGAGUGGCGCACGGGUGAGUAAUGUCUGGAAAACUGCUAGAUGGAGGGGGCAACCUACGGGAAACGGUAGCUAAUACCGAAAACCAUCCGCUGUGCCAAGAUGGGAUUCGCUUGUUGGUGGGGUAACGGAUCACCAAGGCGACGAUCCCUAGCUGGUCUGAGAGGGUGACCGGCCACACUGGAACUGAGACACGGUCCAGACUCCUACGGGAGGCAGCAGUGGGGAAUAUUGCACAAUGGGCGCAAGCCUGAUGCAGCCAUGCCGCGUGUAUGAUGAAGGCCUUCGGGUUGUAAAGUACUUUCAGCGGGGAGGCGUUACCCGCACAGAAAGCACCGGCUAACUCCGUGCCAGCAGCCGCGGUAAUUC